GGCCCCACUCCUCCAAUCUGGGCCAAACGGCUGGCUUCUGGCUCCCUGUGGUUUCUGGAAGGCAGGAAGCCGGCAGACAGCAGACCACGGAGGGCGCCAGCGAGACAGCCUUUCUCUUGGCUUCAUGCCACCGCCAUUCUGGAUUCCUUUUUCCUGUUCUAACUACCUAACAGAUUCAACGGUCUGGGAUGGAACCUGAGGAUCUGCAUUUCAACAGGCUCUCAGUGAAUGAGGAAUGCUGCAACAACAUCUGGAGCCGCCCCCAGCGGAAGCCUGCAGAGCGGCGGUGGCAGCGGUGAUAUAGCUCAGAACGCAGCCUCUCACCGUGUGGACACCACGCAUACAGCAGCACACGCAGACACGUGCACGUGGCCAUGUCUGCAUGUCCACACGUACACAUGAACAUGCAUCUUCUCCUUGUACUUGAGUAACCAAGGAUGGCUGCUACCCCACUCCUGAGCUCAAGGUACCUCAUUUCCAAAGACUAGCCAGGACUGGCCAGCACCAAUGGUUCCAUGACUGUGAGAGAGGAAAUAUGAGUGG